rnacentral:rRNA from 1 species
AUGAACGCUAGCUACAGGCUUAACACAUGCAAGUCGAACGGCAGCACAGGGAGCUUGCUCCCGGGUGGCGAGUGGCGCACGGGUGAGUAAUACAUCGGAACGUGUCCUGUUGUGGGGGAUAACUGCUCGAAAGGGUGGCUAAUACCGCAUGAGACCUGAGGGUGAAAGCGGGGGAUCGCAAGACCUCGCGCAAUUGGAGCGGCCGAUGCCCGAUUAGCUAGUUGGUGAGGUAAAGGCUCACCAAGGCGACGAUCGGUAGCUGGUCUGAGAGGACGACCAGCCACACUGGGACUGAGACACGGCCCAGACUCCUACGGGAGGCAGCAGUGGGGAAUCUUCCGCAAUGGGCGAAAGCCUGACGGAGCAACGCCGCGUGAGUGAUGACGGCCUUCGGGUUGUAAAGCUCUGUGAUCGGGGACGAACGGUCCGUAAGCUAAUACCUUAUGGAAGUGACGGUACCCGAAUAGCAAGCCACGGCUAACUACGUG